rnacentral:rRNA from 1 species
GUCUACGGCCAUGCCACCCUGAACACGCCUGAUCUCGUCUGAUCUUGGAAGCUAAGCAGGGUCAGGUCUGGUUGUACUUGGAUGGGAAACCACCUAGGAAUACAAGGUGCCGUAGGCU